rnacentral:rRNA from 1 species
UNCAUGUGUAGCGGUGAAAUGCGUAGAUAUAUGGAGGAACACCGGUGGCGAAAGCGGCUCUCUGGUCUGUAACUGACGCUGAGGCUCGAAAGCGUGGGGAGCAAACAGGAUUGGAUACCCUGGUAGUNCACGCCGUAAACGAUGAGUGCUAGGUGUUAGGCCCUUUCCGGGGCUUAGUGCCGCAGCUAACGCAUUAAGCACUCCGCCUGGGGAGUACGACCGCAAGGUUGAAACUCAAAGGAAUUGACGGGGGCCCGCACAAGCGGUGGAGCAUGUGGUUUAAUUCGAAGCAACGCGAAGAACCUUACCAGGUCUUGACAUCCCUCUGAUCGCUCUAGAGAUAGAGUUUUCCUUCGGGACAGAGGUGACAGGUGGUGCAUGGUUGUCGUCAGCUCGUGUCGUGAGAUGUUGGGUUAGGUCCCGCAACGAGCGCAACCCCUAUUGUUAGUUGCCAUCAUUCAGUUGGGCACUCUAGCGAGACUGCCGGUAAUAAACCGGAGGAAGGUGGGGAUGACGUCAAAUCAUCAUGCCCCUUAUGACCUGGGCUACACACGUGCUACAAUGGCUGGUACAACGAGUCGCAAGCCGGUGACGGCAAGCUAAUCUCUGAAAGCCAGUCUCAGUUCGGAUUGUAGGCUGCAACUCGCCUACAUGAAGUCGGAAUCGCUAGUAAUCGCGGAUCAGCACGCCGCGGUGAAUACGUUCCCGGGCCUUGUACACACCGCCCGUCACACCACGAGAGUUUGUAACACCCGAAGUCGGUGAGGUAACCGUAAGGANCCA